CAAGGCUUGACAUGGACUGGAAAUACCUGGAAACAGGUGCCCCGCUUGCGGUCGGUUCACAGGUGGUGCAUGGUUGUCGUCAGCUCGUGUCGUGAGAUGUUGGGUUAAGUCCCGCAACGAGCGCAACCCUUGCCAUUAGUUGCCAUCAUUAAGUUGGGCACUUUAAUGGGACUGCCGGUGACAAACCGGAGGAAGGUGGGGAUGACGUCAAGUCCUCAUGGCCCUUAUAGGCAGGGCUACACACGUACUACAAUGGUGGGGACAGAGGGCUGCAAACCCGCGAGGGCAAGCCAAUCCCAGAAACCCCAUCUCAGUCCGGAUUGGAGUCUGCAACUCGACUCCAUGAAGUCGGAAUCGCUAGUAAUCGCAGAUCAGCAUUGCUGCGGUGAAUA
rnacentral:rRNA from 1 species